AAAACGUCUAAAAGCCAAGUUCAUGCUGCUUUGAUGAAUGAGCCCAAUAUCCAGGGUUCUCGGUCGGAGGAAGAUGGAUGUGUGUCGAUCUGAGCUUUUUCUUGGCUCUUUCCUUGCACUGACCCCCUUCAGUGCUGAGGGCAGCACCAAGCUCUCACCUGGCCCCUUCCUGUGCACAGGCUGUUGUCAUUUUUAAGGGCAGGAUCUCUUAAAGAUCCCUUGAAGAGUUUUGGUUUAUUAUGAGAGGGAAAGAGUAAAAAAAUCAGUGAUCCAUCUCUUUGGACCAGGGACUUACCUGAGCUUCCUUGGAGACUCUAUCUGUUGUGCUAUUGGCACUUGGCCUGGCUGACCCUGGGCUGUCCUGUCCAGCGGUCUCUCAUUAACGAGCAGGAUGGGAUGUGGUUCUAGUCUAAGGAGAUUUGUGUUUCUGCUGGGUCCAUUAAUUCCAGAGUCCAUUUUCAGGAUGGCAAAUCACACUGGGGUCAAGAAGGAAUCUUCCCCCAGGGCAGACUGGCACUGGUUCCUAGGGAGUUUUGCUUUCCUCUGCAGCACUGAGCAUGACCACUGUUCAGGGCUCCUUCAGUCCCUUUUGGCUGGGUUGCUGCCUGCUGCUCAUGCCCCAUGAAGAUGGUCUGUCAUACCCUGCAGCUGUGGGCAAGAAGCUUUCCAGACUCCCAGGGUGGGUCCCAAGGGUGGCCUGGGGGUUGCUUCUUGUCCUCCUGUAGCACUGGGAACAGCCCCUGUCAGGGCUCCUCUGGGCUCCUGUGACUCCAUUCUUGCCUGCUGCCCUCACACCUCCAAGGCACCACUUGUGCCCUGGCUCUCUCUGGCUCUCUUGCCCAUUGCAAACCUGGAGUGGGGCUGAGCUCUGCUCUUCCCUUGGCUCCAUUUCCCAUGGGAUUCUUGCAUCCAUCCAGAGCUGUCAUUCUUCAGUUCUCCUGCAUGCAACACAAGCACGGGCCAUGCAUCCCUGGCCAGGAAGCACAGCAACAAGGGAAAUCUUGGAUGGCAAAAAUUGUGCUUGUCAUCAAUAUGCGUUAUAAUUUGUAAAAUAUCCCACAGUAUCACAUAUGCUUUCUUUUUUGUGUGAGGUUGGUACAGUCAGUCUUUGUGUUCUCAUGCCUCAGGAAACAAGAGCUGCUGGGCCUGUAUUCCUGCUACUAUAUUCUGUAGCUCUGUCACUUUCCUUUUCCAGACUACAAAGGAUGGGUUGUAAAGCUAAACUGAAGAACACAUCAGCCUGAUCCUGGCUACACAUGCACAUUGUGUUAAUGGUUGUGAGCAUCAAUUCCAAAACAGAUGAAGAAAAAUAAAAAUUAAAAUAAUAUCCUGUUUCCAGUUAUAACCUGUGUAUUAUGUGUCCUUGAAUGUGUCUUAGGAGAUGAAAAGCCCUUGACAUUUCUGGAAAAUAAUGAUCAUUGUUACUUGACUCAUGAUGAGCACAGGAAAUAGAACAGACCAGUUAAGCCACAUUAAACGCAGAGUUUUGCAUAACAAGCUACAACCCAAGUCUGAGGGCUCCACCCCAGAGCAGCUCUGCAGUGCAGGUCCCAGGCCCACCCAGGAGACAGGGGCAGAGAUGGGCACACCUAUAGCAGGGCUCAGGCAGGGACUGAAGGUCCCAGGCUGAGCUGGGACACAUCCCCUGGGCCCUUGGCAGGAGAUGGAGGAAGUGGGGAGAGGCAAGUUCCAUCCACUAAGGCCUGUGAGCACACCCAAGACUCUGCCAGGACUUGUAAAUUGGAGUAGUGUUUGUUAGCUACCAGUCACUGGGGGCCUCCCCAGACUCCCAGGAAUAUUGUGUAGAUAAAUCAAACAGGUCCUUUUGUGAUAUCUGCUAGCUCCUUCACUACUAUGGGAUGAAUCUUAUCAGACCCAAUAGACCUGACAUUAGGAAAUAUUUUUUUACCUGGAGUGGUCAAACCCUGGAAACAGACUUCUGAAGAGGUUCCCCCCAUGUCUAUCAGUGUUGAAGAGGCAUUUGGACAAUACCUUUAUUACCAAGCUUUAGCAUUUGAUCAGCCUUGAAUGGAACAGGCAGUUGGACUGUAACUGAAUGAUCAUUUUAGAUCUAUUCCAGAUAGACUAUUCUAUUCCAGUCUAGUGUAAGCAUUCAACUGAUGCAUCUGUCCCCUUACAAAUUCACUGUCCACAAAUGGAAAAAUCACUGUUCCUGCAGCUGGAACACUCAGAAGAGCAGGCAACCCAAGUGAUAUAAAGGUGGUUAAUAAAAAAAAUAGGAGCUAGAAAGAGAAUGAAUGUCGCUAUUGAGUAAAAACCAACACAGACUCACCAGAAGUCUGGUUUGCACAGCAGCAGCUUUAAUACGAAAAUUCUCUCUUUUUAUACUGUUCCAAUACAUACAGACUAUAUUGGUCAACAUUUCACCUGAUUGGCUAAUUAACAAAAACAGCUUUCUUAUAAACAAUCAUUGAGAAAACAGGAAAACAGAGAGUAGGAAAAACACCACCUGCAGGUUGUUUAUAAUAAGAAGCUAUCAUCAUUUCUUUACACUCUGUAGAGUCUCACAAGCCCACCAUGAGAAAACUUACCUGGUUUUCUCGCUCUCUGACUAGGCUAUUACAUCCACAGAUGAAGAGUUGAAAUAAUGUGGUAGCAACUGCAGAGAAACUACAGACAAGUGGCAAUUCUGGGAAAAACUAUGGGUGAAGACUUGGGAGAGAGGAGAAAAAUAAAAUUAUUUCUCCUAUAGAGAUCUCCCAUGGAGGCCUGACACUGAACUGUUACAAACGUGAGGCGUGAGAGGUAAGCACAGGGGUCCUACAGAGGAGAAUCCUUAGGAGUCUUUGUCCAAAGGAAGCUAUUCCCAGUUUCAAAAUUCCAAAAUGUUUUCUGAAAUGAAAACUAUUUUUAAUUGAUGAUGACAUGCCCAAAGCAUAUUAAAUAGGAUUUAAUAGGAUGUGAAUCAUCAGGACAGCUGCUUUGGUGACACAAAAUGCACAGAAACCAUUUUGAUCCUAUUUCACAGAAUGUGUUCUAUAUUGCAUACAUGGCAUGAUCACAGCUACCCAGGCUGCUUUCUUGGGAUAUCUUUGGGGUUUAAUUACCCUGUCGAUUAGAGUUAGAGGUAUUCACGUGGCAGUGAAAUGAUUCCUCAUGUCUUCUAUUCUCUACUUGUUUGUAUACAUCAGUCUUGAAAGAGGAG
ensembl:lncRNA